UACCCUGAACGGUGGAUCACUUGGCUCGUGGGUCGAUGAAGAACGCAGCUAACUGCAGGACACAUGAACACCGACAUUUCGAACGCACAUUGCGGUCCACGGAUAACAAUUCCUGGACUACGCCUGGCUGAGGGUCG
rnacentral:rRNA from 1 species